rnacentral:rRNA from 1 species
CCUACGGGAGGCAGCAGUGGGGAAUUUUGGACAAUGGGGGCAACCCUGAUCCAGCAAUGCCGCGUGAGUGAAGAAGGCCUUCGGGUUGUAAAGCUCUUUUGUCAGGGAAGAAACGGUUCUGGCUAAUAUCCGGAGCUAAUGACGGUACCUGAAGAAUAAGCACCGGCUAACUACGUGCCAGCAGCCGCGGUAAUACGUAGGGUGCGAGCGUUAAUCGGAAUUACUGGGCGUAAAGCGUGCGCAGGCGGUUGUGCAAGACAGAUGUGAAAUCCCCGGGCUCAACCUGGGAAUUGCAUUUGUGACUGCACGGCUAGAGUGUGUCAGAGGGGGGUAGAAUUCCACGUGUAGCAGUGAAAUGCGUAGAGAUGUGGAGGAAUACCGAUGGCGAAGGCAGCCCCCUGGGAUAACACUGACGCUCAUGCACGAAAGCGUGGGGAGCAAACAGGAUUAGAUACCCUGGUAGUCCACGCCCUAAACGAUGUCAACUAGUUGUCGGGUCUUAAUUGACUUGGUAACGCAGCUAACGCGUGAAGUUGACCGGCCGCGGGUAAGGUACGGUCGUUCGAAGUAAGUUAAACGUUAACUAAGUUAGAGUUAGACGGCGUUGAGACGNGCGACGGACGACGACGAGGGAGGAGG